rnacentral:rRNA from 1 species
CUUACGGGAGUCAGCAGUGGGGAAUUUUGGACAAUGGGCGAAAGCCUGAUCCAGCAAUGCCGCGUGAGUGAAGAAGGCCUUCGGGUUGUAAAGCUCUUUUGUCAGGGAAGAAACGGUGAGGGCUAAUAUCUCUUGCUAAUGACGGUACCUGAAGAAUAAGCACCGGCUAACUACGUGCCAGCAGCCGCGGUAAUACGUAGGGUGCAAGCGUUAAUCGGAAUUACUGGGCGUAAAGCGUGCGCAGGCGGUUUUGUAAGUCUGUCGUGAAAUCCCCGGGCUCAACCUGGGAAUUGCGAUGGAGACUGCAAGGCUAGAAUCUGGCAGAGGGGGGUAGAAUUCCACGUGUAGCAGUGAAAUGCGUAGAGAUGUGGAGGAACACCGAUGGCGAAGGCAGCCCCCUGGGUCAAGAUUGACGCUCAUGCACGAAAGCGUGGGGAGCAAACAGGAUUAGAUACCCUGGUAGUCCACGCCCUAAACGAUGUCUACUAGUUGUCGGGUUUUAAUUAACUUGGUAACGCAGCUAACGCGUGAAGUAGACCGCCUGGGGAGUACGGUCGCAAGAUUAAAACUUCAAAGGAAUUGACGG